rnacentral:sRNA from 1 species
AAUGCACAGCACGCUGCAGACUUGGAAAAGAAGCAGAAUGAGACAGAAAACAGGAAAUUGCUGGGGACCGUAAUCCAGUAUGGCAAUGUGAUCCAGCUCCUGCAUUUGAAAAGUAAUAAAUACCUAACAGUGAAUAAGAGGCUUCCUGCUCUGUUGGAGAAGAAUGCCAUGAGAGUCACAUUGGACGAGGCUGGAAAUGAAGGGUCCUGGUUUUAUAUUCAGCCAUUCUACAAGCUGCGAUCCAUUGGAGACAGCGUGGUCAUAGGUGACAAGGUUGUUCUGAACCCCGUCAAUGCUGGUCAGCCCCUACAUGCUAGCAGCCAUCAACUGGUAGAUAACCCAGGCUGCAAUGAGGUCAAUUCCGUCAACUGCAAUACAAGCUGGAAAAUAGUCCUUUUCAUGAAAUGGAGUGAUAACAAAGAUGACAUAUUAAAGGGGGGUGACGUGGUGAGGCUGUUUCAUGCUGAGCAGGAGAAGUUUCUCACCUGUGACGAACACAGGAAGAAGCAGCAUGUCUUCCUGAGAACCACGGGCCGGCAGUCGGCCACAUCUGCCACCAGUUCAAAAGCCUUGUGGGAGGUGGAGGUGGUCCAGCAUGAUCCAUGUCGGGGCGGAGCAGGGUAUUGGAACAGCCUUUUCCGUUUCAAGCACCUGGCCACGGGACAUUACUUGGCAGCAGAGGUAGACCCUGAUCAGGAUGCCUCUCGAAGUAGGUUGCGGAAUGCCCAAGAAAAGAUGGUGUACUCCCUGGUCUCUGUGCCUGAAGGCAAUGACAUCUCCUCCAUUUUUGAGCUAGACCCCACUACUCUCCGUGGAGGUGACAGCCUUGUCCCAAGGAACUCUUAUGUUCGGCUCAGACACCUAUGUACUAAUACCUGGGUUCACAGCACAAAUAUUCCUAUUGACAAGGAAGAAGAAAAGCCCGUGAUGCUGAAAAUUGGCACCUCUCCUGUGAAGGAGGAUAAGGAAGCAUUUGCCAUAGUUCCAGUUUCUCCUGCUGAAGUUCGGGACCUGGACUUUGCCAAUGAUGCCAGCAAGGUGCUGGGCUCCAUUGCUGGGAAGCUAGAGAAAGGCACCAUCACCCAGAAUGAAAGGAGGUCUGUAACCAAGCUGCUAGAAGAUUUGGUUUACUUCGUCACUGGCGGAACUAAUUCUGGUCAAGAUGUUCUUGAAGUUGUCUUCUCCAAGCCCAACAGAGAACGGCAGAAACUGAUGAGAGAACAGAAUAUUCUCAAGCAGAUCUUCAAGUUGUUACAAGCCCCAUUCACAGACUGCGGCGAUGGCCCAAUGCUUCGGCUGGAAGAGCUCGGGGACCAGCGGCACGCUCCUUUCAGACACAUCUGCCGGCUCUGCUACAGGGUGCUGAGACACUCGCAGCAAGACUACAGGAAGAACCAGGAGUAUAUAGCCAAGCAGUUUGGCUUCAUGCAGAAGCAGAUUGGCUAUGAUGUGUUGGCUGAAGACACUAUCACUGCCCUGCUCCACAAUAAUCGGAAACUCCUGGAAAAACACAUUACCGCGGCAGAGAUUGACACAUUUGUCAGCCUGGUGCGAAAGAACAGGGAGCCCAGAUUCUUAGAUUACCUCUCCGACCUUUGUGUCUCCAUGAACAAAUCGAUUCCAGUGACCCAGGAACUAAUAUGUAAAGCUGUGCUGAAUCCCACCAACGCUGACAUCCUGAUUGAGACCAAGUUGGUUCUUUCUCGUUUUGAAUUUGAAGGUGUUUCUUCCACUGGAGAGAACGCUCUGGAGGCAGGCGAAGAUGAGGAAGAGGUGUGGCUGUUUUGGAGGGACAGCAACAAAGAGAUUCGCAGCAAGAGUGUGAGGGAGUUGGCGCAAGACGCUAAAGAAGGGCAGAAGGAGGACCGAGACGUUCUCAGCUACUACAGCUGCCAUGAUUCCCUAUAUGUUUACCUGCCUGCCCGUUUCCCUGUGUGUACCUGUCUCACCUCUGCCAGCCACCUCCUCGGUCCCCAGUGUCUCCUUGGCUGCAGCUCUAAGACCUGCCAGUCCUGCCACCUGAAGGGAAGGGAAGGGGAAGAAAGAAGGGAAGUGAACCAAUUAAUACUUUUAAAAGAAAAGGAAAGGGAAGAUAAAGCAAGGCUUUUAUUAUUUUUUAAUAAAAUAAAUUAAACUGCAGAUAAAAUGCCU